GACAGAGGCCUCAAGCGUUAGGCGGAAUCACUGGGCUUAAAGCGUGUGUAGGCGGAUCGUUAAGUGUCUUGUGAAAUCCCACGGCUCGCCCGUGGAACGGCUGGGCAUACUGGCGAUCUUGGGCCAACUAGGGGCAACUGGAACAAGCGGUGGAGCGGUGAAAUGCGUAGAUAUCGCUUGGAACGCCGAAGGUGAAAACAGGUUGCUGGGGUUGUGCCGACGCUGAGACACGAAAGCCAGGGGAGCAAACGGG
rnacentral:rRNA from 1 species